rnacentral:rRNA from 1 species
GUGCAUAGACAACUAGGAGGUUGGCUCAGAAGCAGCCACCCUUUAAAGAGUGCGUAAUAGCUCACUAGUCGAGUGCUCUUGCGCGGAUAAUGUACCGGGGCUAAGCAUAUUACCGAAACUGUGGAUGCGUAAGCAUGGUAGGAUAGCGUAAUUAACGCGAUGAAGGAUGACCGUAAGGACAUGUUGGAGCGUUAACUAGUGAGAAUUCCGGUAUGAGUAGCGAAAGAUAGGUGAGAAUCCUAUCCACCGAAUGAGUAAGGUUUCCCCCGGAAGGCUCGUCCGCGGGGGGUUAGUCGGGACCUAAGGCGAGGCUGAAAAGCGUAGUCGAUGGACAACAGGUUGAUAUUCCUGUACCGAUAUUUAAUUGCCGAAGGAAGGACGCAGAAGGAUAACACAGGCCACUAUUGGAUGUGGUUUUAAACAGUUAGUCUUCAUAAGAGUCAAAUGCUUUUAUGUUUAAGGAUAAGCUGUGAAUGUACCAAGUUUACUUGGAAAUUGUGUGAUUUCACGCUGCUGAAAAAAGUUUCGUAGGAAGAAAAUAUUGCCCGUACCGCAAACCGACACAGGUACUCGAGUGGAGAACACUAAGGUGAGCGAGUGAACUAUUGUUAAGGAACUCUGCAAAAUGAGUCCGUAACUUCGGAAGAAGGACUGCUGGUUUUAUACCAGCCGCAGCAAAUAGGCCCAAACAACUGUUUAUCAAAAACACAGGUUUCUGCAAAAUCGUAAGAUGAAGUAUAGGGGCUGACGCCUGCCCAGUGCUGGAAGGUUAAAAGGAGGACUUAGCUUCGGCGAAGGUCUUAAUUGAAGCCCCAGUGAACGGCGGCCGUAACUAUAACGGUCCUAAGGUAGCGAAAUUCCUUGUCGGGUAAGUUCCGACCCGCAUGAAAGGCGUAAUGAUUUGGGCGCUGUCUCAACAAUAGACUCGGUGAAAUUUAAAUUCCAGUGAAGAUGCUGGGUACCCGCGACAGGACGGAAAGACCCCGUGGAGCUUUACUGUAGCUUGAUAUUGAAUGUUUGUGCUGCAUGUGCAGGAU